rnacentral:ribozyme from 1 species
AACAGUUCACAAUCCUCACCCUGAACGAAGUCAAGGUCGAUUUCUUCAGACUCCUCUACCAACACAUUCACCCAAUCACCUCCCGCGCAAAAAUAGCACUGAUUCGGGAAUGAUAAAAAGCACAAAAUUGCGUUAAUCAUACCAAAA